rnacentral:rRNA from 1 species
CCUACGGGUGGCAGCAGUGAGGAAUAUUGGUCAAUGGCCGUAAGGCUGAACCAGCCAAGUCGCGUGAAGGAAGAAGGAUCUAUGGUUUGUAAACUUCUUUUAUAGGGGAAUAAAGGUAUCCACGUGUGGAUAUUUGCAUGUACCCUAUGAAUAAGCAUCGGCUAACUCCGUGCCAGCAGCCGCGGUAAUACGGAGGAUCCGAGCGUUAUCCGGAUUUAUUGGGUUUAAAGGGUGCGUAGGCGGCCUUUUAAGUCAGCGGUGAAAGUCUGUGGCUCAACCAUAGAAUUGCCGUUGAAACUGGGAGGCUUGAGUAUGUUUGAGGCAGGCGGAAUGCGUGGUGUAGCGGUGAAAUGCUUAGAUAUCACGCAGAACCCCGAUUGCGAAGGCAGCCUGCCAAGCCAUGACUGACGCUGAUGCACGAAAGCGUGGGGAUCAAACAGGAUUAGAUACCCCAGUAGUC